rnacentral:sRNA from 1 species
GACCCGACGUGGUAGGGGGUGAGAAUAUCGAUUUCGACGAAGGCACGCACGAAGAGCAGCGCGCCGACACCGAAGAGUACCAUCGACU